CGGGGACACGUUGGGGGGCGGAGCUUCAUACGGAGGAUCCCAAAGACCCGGGUGACUGGGUGUGUCCAGAGGAAGGCCGGGGCUCCCGAUUCCUGUUGGCAGACUUAGCUUCUUCGGUGGCUAGCUGUGCCCAGGAUUGAACUGAGGCCCACAGAUGACGACAGCGUGCCAUCCCGGGAAGAAGGAAUGCCUGGAGCAGGAGGGUAGAGAAAGAACAUUUAGGGCGAGGGGGAUGUAGCCUGAGUGUUUUGUGGAUAGUCAUGGAAAAGACUAUAGAGUAGGAGAGCAGCAGCAAAAACAAGAGGAUUCAUAGGUGAGUGAAAAAAUUCAGGAGAUUUCAGGGACCACAACAUCAGAAGCCCCACCCAAACUCAGGUACCUUUGCUCGGCUUCGGAGCUUGUCCCCCGACCUUCUGAUGAUUCUGAUGCAAGUCGGCCUCGUGGAUUCUGGUGUAGAGUGGUUGGGCAGGGGCAUCGCUCAGCACUCCCACGCAUCACAGACCCCUAAGGAAGAAAACAGACACACAUUCAUAGAUGAGGAAAGACAGAGUUGGGCUUAGGGGGCGCCUGGUAGUUCCUCCAGUCCCUAAGUCCUUUUCUUUACAGUGGACUCUGCUAUGCUCCAGGGAUCUUCGGCCUUUUAACAUGGAUGGGCAAGUCUUACCUGUCUAGACCCUCCAAGGUUGCUUUGGUUCAUCGGAAUGUAUCCAGAUGAAGGACUCAGAAAGUUCUGACUCUGGGAAGAAAAAAGGGAGAAGACGGGAGUGGCACCCCAGAACAGGGAUUACGUAUGAACUGCUUGGUUCUGUUUCCUGCCAGUGUUGUACUUUUUUGGAGCGGGGAGGAAGUCACGCCUUACCGCACGUGG